CGCUUGUUUGUCUUAAAUUAAUUGACUUUUAUAGCGCAGAUUGAAUUGCUAGAGACGCAAAAAUUAUAUUUUAAAAAUUCCUAAUAAUCGCAUUAUAAAUAAUCGAUACAUUUUACUUAGAGUGUAAUUGCAAAAACAAUGCGUGCGUCAAACUGAACUUUUGCUGCGCCAGAAAGGCAGAUGGUUUUCUUUAUAUAUUAAAUCGUGAGGCCAUGUGGUGUAAUUUGAUAGUACAGUACUUGUCAAUUUAGCAUAAUUUUGCGCACUUUUCUAAGUUCCGGAUCCGUGAGCCUUUAAUAAUUUUAUUUGUCAUUUACUUAUACAACAAUUAAAAAAAUCCUACCUGUUUACAAAACUUUUGUGUUACACACUUAAUUAAUAGGUGUCUUCUUACUAAUUCAAUAACUGUUACACAAUAAAGAUUUUUGCUGUCAAUUGCACUAGAAUUAGCGUUUUAAUAAUAGCACAUAAUAGUUUCGUGAGAAAAUUUAUUUAUCUUAUACCAUAAACUUCUGAUUAUGAUUACGGGCUAGUAUAUCGAAUGGUGUGAACGUUUGUAAUGUGACGGGGUCAUAGACGUCGGGCUUAUAUUCGGGGACUUAUAAUCGGAAGUAUAUGGUAUAAGAUAAAUAAAUUUUUUCACGAAACUAUUCUCCUAGUUUAAAAAUUAAAAGGAUGUAGCCUACUAUUAUUAAAAUGCUAAUUCUAGCUAGUGCAAUUGACAGCAAAAAUCUCUAUUGUGUAACAGUUAUGGAAUUAAUAAGAAGACACCUAUUACGGUAAUUAAGUAUGUAACACAAAAGCUUGUAAACGGUAGGAUAUUUUGUAAACAGUUGUAUAAGUAAAUGACAAAUAAAGUUAUAAAAGGCUCACGGAUCCGGAAAGAAAAGUGCUCAAAAUUAUGCUAAAUUGAC